UACCCGCAGCACAAGUGGUGGUCAUUAUUAUUGGGCCUAAAGCGUCCGUAGCUGGCUUGUUAGAUGCCUGGGUAAAUCGAUGCGCUCAACGCAUCGAAUUCCGGGUAGACCGGCAAGCUCGAGACCGGGAGAGGCGUGAGCUACUCGAGGGGUAGGGGUAAAAUCCUGUAAUCCUUCGGGGAGGACCAGUGGCGAAGGCGUCACGCUAGAACGGCUCUGACAGUGAGGGACGAAGCCCUGG
rnacentral:rRNA from 1 species